AUUGAACGCUGGCGGCAUGCCUUACACAUGCAAGUCGAACGGUAACGCGGGGCAACCUGGCGACGAGUGGCGAACGGGUGAGUAAUACAUCGGAACGUGCCCAGUAGUGGGGGAUAGCCCGGCGAAAGCCGGAUUAAUACCGCAUACGACCUACGGGUGAAAGCGGGGGAUCGCAAGACCUCGCGCUAUUGGAGCGGCCGAUGUCAGAUUAGGUAGUUGGUGGGGUAAAGGCCUACCAAGCCUACGAUCUGUAGCUGGUCUGAGAGGACGACCAGCCACACUGGGACUGAGACACGGCCCAGACUCCUACGGGAGGCAGCAGUGGGGAAUUUUGGACAAUGGGCGCAAGCCUGAUCCAGCCAUGCCGCGUGCGGGAAGAAGGCCUCGGUUGUAA
rnacentral:rRNA from 1 species